GACAGAGGGUGCAAACGUUGUUCGGAAUUACUGGGCGUAAAGCGCGUGUAGGCGGCCCUGUAAGUCGGGUGUGAAAUCCCACGGCUCAACCGUGGAAGUGCAUUCGAAACUACAGGGCUAGAGUUCUGGAGAGGAAGGUGGAAUUCCUAGUGUAGAGGUGAAAUUCGUAGAUAUUAGGAGGAAUACCGGUGGCGAAGGCGGCCUUCUGGACCGAUCUUGACGCUGAGACGCGAAAGCGUGGGGAGCAAACAGG
rnacentral:rRNA from 1 species